CUUGAUCAUUCCUCCCAGGCUACUUUACGAUACCCUUGAAGAUUUUACAGGACUUCUAACGAUCCGGGGAAGCAGUUAUCUUGUUCCACCGGUUGCUCUAUCCUACAACUCACACUGUGGCCACAUACCCAGAAUACAUUUUCACAACAGCAAUCUUAGUGGAUCCUGUAUUUUAACAAGGCCUUUUUUUUUUCACUUCCAACAUCUGGAGAAAACACAUAAGGAAAUGUUAAUAAAUAGUUACAGGAAUUGAUAACAUUGAAAUAUAUGUACUUCCUUAUAGAGGGAAAAAUAAUCAGAAAAGAUAGAAUCUUUUAAAUCAGUUUUACACAAAGAAUACCAAAAAAUUUAAUCAUAAAAACAAUCUCAUUUAAGAGGAUUCAGUUUACUUCCUUUCCUAGGGUCAACCAAAUAACUAAUGUCAAAUCCCCAAAGCACAUAGGUACAAUAUUUCCUCACAAAAGAAUGACCUAGGAUUUCAAUGUUCAAAUUUUCAAAUUUUCCACUUUUUGAAAAAAUUGUGUUAUAUUUAGAUUCAGGAGCCCAUGUGCAUGUUUGUUACAUGGUUAUAUUGUGUCAUGGUGGGAUUGGGCCUCU
rnacentral:lncRNA from 10 species